rnacentral:rRNA from 1 species
CCUACGGGGGGCUGCAGUGGGGAAUAUUGCACAAUAGGGGAAACCCUGAUGCAGCAACGCCGCGUGAGCGAUGAAGGCCUUCGGGUCGUAAAGCUCUGUCCUAAGGGAAGAAUACUGACGGUACCUUAGGAGGAAGCCCCGGCUAACUACGUGCCAGCAGCCGCGGUAAUACGUAGGGGGCAAGCGUUAUCCGGAAUCACUGGGUGUAAAGGGUGCGUAGGCGGUAGGGCAAGUCAGAUGUGAAAGCCCGGGGCUCAACCCCGGGAUUGCAUUUGAAACUGUCUUACUAGAGUGCAGGAGAGGAGAGUGGAAUUCCUAGUGUAGCGGUGAAAUGCGUAGAUAUUAGGAGGAACACCAGUGGCGAAGGCGACUCUCUGGACUGUAACUGACGCUGAGGCACGAAAGCGUGGGGAGCAAACAGGAUUAGAUACCCUGGUAGUC